GCUGGGCAUGGUGACUCAUGCCUGUAAUCCCAGCAUCUUGGGAGGCUGAGGCAGGAGGAUUGCUUGAGUCCAGGAGUUUGAGACCAGCCUGGGCAACAAAGUGAGACCUUGUCUCUA
rnacentral:SRP_RNA from 1 species